rnacentral:tRNA from 1 species
GGGGAUUUAGCUCAGUGGCAUAAGCACCUGCCUUGCAAGCAGGUUGGUUGUGAGUUCGAUCCCCA